rnacentral:lncRNA from 1 species
CCAAAGUAUGUGGUUGUUUUGAACUUCACCCAUGUGAAAAAGCCUUUCAUUGUGCCUUUUUAAUUGUUCUUAAUGCCAAGGUCCAAUGAUCAUAGAAUCAGAAAGAGCUUAUGGAUGAGGGUUUGUUCUUCAUUAGUUGCUUAAUCUGGUCUGCUGAAUGCUCAAAAAAUGCAUGGUUGAGAGAAGGGGUGCCACCAUUGCAUAGAUGGAGUGGAACAAAUUUGGGGGUGAUCUAUAAAUUGAUGGAAAGGACUAAGGAGAAUAGUGGAAGCACCAAGAUUAUGAUUUACCUACUUUUUUGUUUUUAAUUACUAUUAUUUGGGGGAGGUGCUGUCUAGUGAGGUCCUGAAGGUGGCAUGUCUAUGAUUUGAGAGCCAUCUUGAUUUCUUUGCAAGCUUAGCUUGGCAUACCUUGUUGGCAGCUCGGCUUAUUGUCAGUUUUGUGUGUUUCGUUUUACUUUGGUUACAAAAUUUACCUCCUCAAGUUGGCUAUUAAGAAGGGGGUAAAGAUGUUGGUGGUGUCAUUUAGUUGAGUUGGUUUAGAAAACACUUAUGGACUGUUUGGAUGACUGGGCCCAAAAUCCCUUAGAAAUCGUGGAUUUGGGCCAAUACGACUACCUAGACGAGGCUGGGCUAAACCUCAUCACGAAUGCCUAGAGAUCCAUUGUAGUGGGCCGGCACGAUCCUAUGGGGAGAAAAAAAAGACCUCAUCCCACAGGGAGGAAAAAAAUUCCUGCCGAGGUCUUUUUUUUCUCUCCCUAUGGGAUUCGGACCAGUUCACUAUAAUAGUUCUUUGGGUGUUUAUAAAGACAGGUUGGAUUAGGCCUCAUUUAGGUGGUUGUAUUGGCUCAAACCCAUGGUUCCUGUGGGAUUUUGGGCCCAGUUAUCCAAAUAGACCUUUAUUAGAAAUAUUCACUUAGACAUACACAAAUGGUUUCUUAUUCAUGUCAGAAUGGUUAACUGAUGAAUCCAUACCUGCGCCUGUCAGAUUACAGAAUUCUUUCAGAUGGUCAAAAUGGUGCCCUGCACAUACGAACUUUGCAGCAAAUCAAGUUGCACUUAAAACUCACACAUAUCCAAUACUUAUGUUUGUUUUUUUUUGUUUUUUUAAAUGUGACAGCCAACAGUUGGUGAUGCUAAUCUAGUGAUACAUUGUCCCCAGUUGCACCCAAN